rnacentral:lncRNA from 1 species
AUUAGAUUUUAUAAAACAGUAAAUAAAUUCUUUAGGUAGCGACAGCAGUUUGUGGGUAUCUGAGCCGGAAACCCUCACGAGACAAAACUCGUCCACUAGGGCCAUCUAGGGGUUUAAAGCCUUAUUGCAUACGGUCAAUGCAAUCGCGAUUCCUGCGAAAGUGAGUUAGUUUUUAUUUUGCUUGAGGACUAGCAAAAUGUAGGUUGGGGGGUGUGAUAAGUGCUAAAUAAUGCAUAAAUUAAUAUCUUAUUCAUAGCACUUAUCAUUAUUUUAAUUCACAUAUUUUGUAAAGUUAACCAUAAAAGAUGUAUUACCCUCAUCAUUGCAUUUUAAUAAAUUAAUUCGAGUUUGAUUUAAUUAUUUAUUAAUUGAGUCUAAUAUAUACAGGUCGAGUCAAAUUCAUUUGGGAUGAUCCCUGGACCCGAAUCACAUGCAUCCCGCAAAUUAGAUCCUCUCAUAUUCUGAUUCAGCCAUCUCCUUUCAGAUCAUGUCCACCGUCUGCGCAUAUCCAGGAUCAUCCUCCUUUAUCCGGAUUACUUCUUUUGAAUCUAAAGAAUAGAGUUCAUCCACAGGAUGAACCCAAAUCCCAGCUACUCCGCGAUUGAGCAGCAUUACUUCCGUUCGUGAGAUCAGCAUCCGGAUUAACUUCAUCUUCCGAAUCCCCUGUUCCCACUGAAUCAAGACUCAUCCGUACCCAAGCUAUCCGCCAAGUCCAACUCUCCUUGCUUCAGCGGAACAGGGCCACGUCUUUCAUCUUCAUCUCCUCUGCUUCCGGAUUCCUCCACGUCCAGCCAAUGGCUGCAUCCCAACCCGGAUGAGCUCGGAUCGGAUUAAUCCCAACCAACUGCAAGUAAUCUCCUAGCAUCCUUAUCUCCUUCUACAUCCAAACUUCCCAGAUUAAGCCGCGUCCACGUUUGAGCACAGAUUCCAUCCUUUCCGUGAUCAACUCCAUCUUCUUCCCCUGUUCCGCAUCCAAAGAUUUCCUCCCAGCUCGCAUCCAACCAUUUCAUCCUUCCACAAAAUCCCAAGCAACUCCUUCAACUGUAAUCAUCUCUCUUGCAUCCACGUCAACAGUCCCCGUGAUCAGCUCUCGCAUGCAUUCCGUGGUUCAACUUCAUCCAUCCAGCCAUCGGGACCAAAAGCCAGCAUCUACAACACGACCGGAGAUCAAGCAAAAAUCCCAGCACCUCAUGCACGGACAUGAUCCAUCUUUCCCAACAACCUCACGCGUCUUCUCCGCGAGUCAUCCUCAUCUCCUCUCAGCCGUGAGCGUUCACAUGAUCCUCUGCAUCCUUAUCCUUGAUUCAAAAGAGGGGAGAAGAGAGACGUGGCAGGCUAUAAAAAGGGAGUCGAUUCUUCCUUUUCACGAUAGAGGGGGGACUGCACCCAUCCCUUCUUCCCCCAUCGGGGGCUGAUCUCUUCGCUGGAGAAGCUACUCACAGGCCAAGUUCCCACGGGAAAUAGAGGAGGGAGAAAAGUUUGGAUAUUUUGGGAAUGAUUUCCCAAAGAAAAAAAAUAAGAAUGAAGUGCUGAGGGAAAGGAAGCCGAUCGUGAUGCAAAUGGAAGCCCGCUGCUGUGCCACUGCUGCUGUCGCCCACAACUCCAUGAAAGGCUGAUCUUCGCUCUAGGGCUGGAUGCAGCCCUAAUAAAGGGCCAAGGGUUUUAUAUUUUAAUUUUCUAUUCCUGGAGUUGUAUAAACUUUAUUUUGCUCCUAAUGAAUAUUUUAUUUCAUCUCAUAUUUAAUUUCUGUGAUUUUAAGUAUGACGUUUA